rnacentral:rRNA from 1 species
GACGAACCGAGCGAACGUUGUUCGGAAUCACUGGGCUUAAAGGGCGCGUAGGCGGGUGCUCAAGUCCGUGGUGAAAUCCUCCGGCUCAACCGGAGAACUGCCUCGGAUACUGGGCGUCUCGAGUGUGGUAGGGGUAUGCGGAACUAUCGGUGGAGCGGUGAAAUGCGUUGAUAUCGAUAGGAACUCCGGUGGCGAAGGCGGCUUGCUGGACCUCUUCUGACGCUGAGGCGCGAAAGCCAGGGAGCAAACGGG